rnacentral:rRNA from 1 species
UACGUAGGGAGCAAGCGUUGUCCGGAAUCAUUGGGCGUAAAGCGCGCGUAGGCGGCCCGGUAAGUCCGUCGUGAAAGCCUGUGGCUCAACCACAGAAUUGCCUUCGAUACUGUUUGGCUUGAGACCGGAAGAGGUUAGUGGAACUGCGAGUGUAGAGGUGAAAUUCGUAGAUAUUCGCAAGAACACCAGUGGCGAAGGCGGCUGACUGGUCCGGUUCUGACGCUGAGGCGCGAAAGCGUGGGGAGCAAACAGG